rnacentral:rRNA from 1 species
AGUCAUGAGGUUGAUCCUGGCUCAGGAUUAUAUACCCUGGGAGUCAUGAGGUUGAACACUCACUCAGGAACGUGCCCUUUGGUUCGGAACAACUCAGGGAAACUUGAGCUAAUACCGGAUGUGCCCUUCGGGGGAAAGAUUUAUCGCCAUUGGAGCGGCCCGCGUCUGAUUAGCUAGUUGGUGGGGUAAAGGCCCACCAAGGCGACGAUCAGUAGCUGGUCUGAGAGGAUGAUCAGCCACAUUGGGACUGAGACACGGCCCAAACUCCUACGGGAGGCAGCAGUGGGGAAUCUUGCGCAAUGGGCGAAAGCCUGACGCAGCCAUGCCGCGUGAAUGAUGAAGGUCUUAGGAUUGUAAAAUUCUUUCACCGGGGACGAUAAUGACGGUACCCGGAGAAGAAGCCCCGGCUAACUUCGUGCCAGCAGCCGCGGUAAUACGAAGGGGGCUAGCGUUGCUCGGAAUUACUGGGCGUAAAGGGAGCGUAGGCGGACUGUUUAGUCAGAGGUGAAAGCCCAGGGCUCAACCUUGGAAUUGCCUUUGAUACUGGCAGUCUUGAGUACGGAAGAGGUAUGUGGAACUCCGAGUGUAGAGGUGAAAUUCGUAGAUAUUC